UACGGGGGGGGCAAGCGUUGUUCGGAAUUACUGGGCGUAAAGGGCUCGUAGGCGGCCAACUAAGUCGGAUGUGAAAUCCCCAGGCUCAACUUGGGAACUGCAUCCGAUACUGGAUGGCUUGAAUUCGGGAGAGGGAUGCAGAAUUCCAGGUGUAGCGGUGAAAUGCGUAGAUAUCGGAAGGAACAUCAGUGGCGAAAGCGGCUUCCUGGACCAGCACCGACGUUCAGGCACGAAAGCGUGGGGAGCAAACAGG
rnacentral:rRNA from 1 species